ensembl:lncRNA
GGGGAGGAGCUGGGGCAAAGCUGAAGGGGAUGGCUCUGAGGCCCUGGGAGCCCAGGCCAGAUGGGCUCAGCCAGCUCCUUGGUGGAGGCCAGGCAGUGCCCUUUUGAGCCCCUGACCUAGGCCAGGCCGCGGCGGGAGGCGGGGAGCGGGCAGGGCCUCUGGGCCGAGUCCUGCACCUUGGGGCGACCGCCCAGGCCCGCUCCCCUCCUCCAAGCCACCCUGGGACUGGUGGCUGAGUCCCUGGGGGCAGUCUUUGUGGGAUGUUUUCUGCAGGUGAGAGGAAGGAUCCCCGCCGGGUGUCUUGCUGCCUCUGGCACCUGACCUGUUCCAGACAAAGCCACCUUCCGCUCAGAAGUCUUUUCCUGUCCUCUCCCAGGCAUAGCUGCGGCAUCCCCUGCUCCGCCUGGCCCGAGUGUCAGGCCCUCGUGUCUGUGAGUUCUGGUGGCACUCUGUACCUGCCCGCCCCGUCCUCCCCAGGGCUCGUCCUCCCCAGGGCUCUUCCUCCCGGGCGGGUGGCUGCUGUCCCGGAGACCGUGGCCCCUGCAGGGGCGCAGAGUCCCUUGAAGGCAAGGACAGAGUCUCCUCGGCUCUGUAAGCCCGGUGCCCGGUGGUUGCUCUGGAAAAGUGGCCUCGGCAGAGGCCUGCUCUCUCUCCCAGGGGGCUGCGCGUCCUCUCUCCUUCCAGAAGCCCGAGGACACAGGACUGCUGGCCAUGAGGUGAGGGACAGAGGGUGUCUUUGUGGAUUUUCAGCCUCAGGGCUGCGGGGACCCUAAGGCUCACGCGAUACCCAGCUCCCUCCUGCCGGCGGCCCCUCCUGGGCCUGUCGCCCUCGGAAGGGUGUCCAGCUGUGGCCAGGCAGCCCAGAGUCUCCUGGGAGUGACGUCACAUCACCAGGGAGGGUCCCCGGGUGGUGGGCCCUGGUGUCGCCCCGAAUCCUGUCGUUGGAGCCCAGGGCACCUGCUCAGAGUCAGCUCCCCUUUCCGGCCCCGUGCCCAGGUCACCAGCAGAACUCACGGUGCCCGCCGCCCUUCUAAGCACUGGCCUUUGGGCCCCUUCUAGUCCCCAGCGACUGGGAUCCAUCCAGCCCCCGGCUCCAGCUGCCCCCUGGGAACUGGCCAUGUCCACGCCUGGGUGCUCCCCUCCCUGGCUCUGCCAGCCCACCCAGUUUGGCCCUGGCCAUCGUCCUGCCCCUCCCUCCUGCUCCAGGGAUUCCUCCCCGGGCCGCUCUUCUCUGCGCCUGGCGCCCGCCCUGCUCUCCUCCUUUGCAGAGAGCCUGGGGUGGCAUCUUUGAGGCCCAGAGAGGGUCCCACAGCUGCCGCUCCCCAGCGACUGGGAUCCAUCCAGCCCCCGGCUCCAGCUGCCCCCUGGGAACUGGCCAUGUCCACGCCUGGGUGCUCCCCUCCCUGGCUCUGCCAGCCCACCCAGUUUGGCCCUGGCCAUCGUCCUGCCCCUCCCUCCUGCUCCAGGGAUUCCUCCCCGGGCCGCUCUUCUCUGCGCCUGGCGCCCGCCCUGCUCUCCUCCUUUGCAGAGAGCCUGGGGUGGCAUCUUUGAGGCCCAGAGAGGGUCCCAGUGCACAGCUGCCGCGUGUUCUGGGGCCCCCCGGGCUGGGAUCGGCUUGACCCCGUUUCCCGGUUGCCCGGGAGUCCUUGCCAGGGCCGCUUUCCUCUGGGAGAGGCCUUUGGCCCGUCGUUCUACUGAGCUGCUUGUCGUCUUUGUGCCGAGUCGUGGGAGCUCUUCCUGGGGUCUGGGUGGGAAUGCGGCCUGGGGCCUUGUGUUCCAGCCGCUUCCUCCUGCCCCUCGCGGGCCGGUUUCCUCCUCUCUUUGCAGGCCGCUUUGGACGCGGGGUUCGCCUAGACGCUCUGAAUUGGAAGCGCCCCAGAGGUCGGGGAGUGUCCUACCC